rnacentral:tRNA from 1 species
AGAUAAUUAGUUAAAUUUAUAAUAUAAGUUUGUCAAGCUUAAGUUAUCCAAAUAGGAUAUUACCUG